rnacentral:lncRNA from 1 species
UUAGUUCCGAUCGAGCAUCCGUACGAAUUCUCAACCAUGUGGUUUAGUCAUAUUAUGAUACUGUAUGUUUAAUUGAUAUCGUAUGAUCCGUGCAAGGUGCCUCCCUAGCGAAUGUUCUCGGUACCUUCAAACCAGUCGCCAACUCUACGUGUAAUCAUUAUUGCGCUUGAAAAUGGAAUACGACGAUGAACAUUCAUGUUCAAAUUUGAAUAUGGAUACGAAACUGAUAGUCCCUGCUGAUACAUAUGACAGCGAUACGACGAUAAAUAAUUUUACGGACCCAAUAAAAUGACGAAUGAUGGACAUAAUCGAAAACCAGCACGGGACCGAACUCACUCGCUUGGGCGAGUUCUGCGGAAUCAGGCGCAAAGUCAAGAUUGGGAACCUAACGCACCCGUGAGCAGAGAUUCACGAAACAAUCAUCUCUGCUCCUACCCCCGACGUUUCUUCAUGAGCGGAGGAGCGACACAGGUGCGGCGUGUAAAAAUACACUCUCACCUGACUGUUCCGAUGAAACAAACCUUUUUUGUUCAACGUUAGUUCCCCUUCCCCAAAAAUUUUAAGUUGACCGGAAUUGAACUCGAUCCAGGUUCCCGACUAUAGUCGAAAACAUGCCAUUGAAGGCGAGCGUCAUGUAUCUCCAAAACAUGAUAUUGACGUGCCGGGAGAACACCGUGUUAUGGAAGGCGAUUUCCCUGAGACUUUGUUGCCUGCAAGUCGUCUGCAAGACAGAUACUUUCACGGAGCCUCCAACUUCGACGUAAGCCACGAAGCACCUUGGAGAGGUAAACACAAACCUCCGAUAAAUUUUGGCCAUCCGCGUGGCUAUUCUGAAGAUCCUAUCAGGGAGCAUUGCCCGAGUAAUUUUGGGAAAGGCGGUGUCCGUCACUAUCGCAGGCGACUGGCAGGCCC